UUCAAUGGGUGGGCGAUGGUGGGGAGGCUUCGGCCUGCCGGUGCCGACGUUCCGGUCUUCCAACCCUGCUAUCUGCCCGCCCACCCCA
rnacentral:antisense_RNA from 1 species